AUUCUUGUAGUGUAAUAAGCACAUUAAGGGUUUCAUCCUAAAGGUAUAUAGGUAAUAUCAAGAAUU
rnacentral:tRNA from 1 species